rnacentral:piRNA from 1 species
CCGUUUGAAAAGUGCAACUUAA